rnacentral:tRNA from 1 species
ACCCUCGAGGCCCAAUCGGAUGGGGCGCCUGAUUACGAAUCAGGAGGGUGCAGGUUCGAUCCCUGCCGAGGGUG